GUCGCUUCUCGGCUCUAUGAGCUAAGAUCAAGCGCAGUAUCUGUUCUUAUCAGUUUAAUAUCUGGUAUGUUUUCUAUUUGAAAAUUAUAUUGCACGUGAAACUCAGCACUGGAGUAUUUACAAGUAUGCAACAGCAUACAUACACAAAAGGUAAUGACCAAGAAUGUCUUUUUCACUAUGAAUAUAAAGUGGUGUGCUUU